UACGUAGGGUGCAAGCGUUGUCCGGAAUUAUUGGGCGUAAAGAGCUCGUAGGCGGUCUGUCGCGUCGGCUGUGAAAACCCGAGGCUCAACCUCGGGCCUGCAGUCGAUACGGGCAAACUAGAGUACUGCAGGGGAGACUGGAAUUCCUGGUGUAGCGGUGAAAUGCGUAGAUAUCGAGAGGAACACCUGCGGCGAAGGCGGGUUGCUGGGCCGACACUGACGCUGAUGCGCGAAAGCCAGGGGAGGCGAACGGG
rnacentral:rRNA from 1 species